ACAGAUCGUUCAGAGUUUGAUCCUGGCUCAGGAUGAACGCUGGCGGCGUGCUUAACACAUGCAAGUCGAACGAAGCACUUUGAUUUCUUCGGAAGGAUGAGUGACUUAGUGGCGGACGGGUGAGUAACGCGUGGGUAACCUGCCUCGUACAGGGGGAUAACAGUUAGAAAUGACUGCUAAUACCGCAUAUGCACACAGCACCGCAUGGUGCAGGGUGGAAAGAUUUAUCGGUACGAGAUGGACCCGCGUUGGAUUAGCUAGUUGGUGAGGUAACGGCCCACCAAGGCGACGAUCCAUAGCCGGCCUGAGAGGGUGAACGGCCACAUUGGGACUGAGACACGGCCCAA
rnacentral:rRNA from 1 species